UACGAAGGGGGCUAGCGUUGUUCGGAGUUACUGGGCGUAAAGGGCGCGUAGGCGGCGCAUCAAGUCAGGCGUGAAAGCCCUGGGCUCAACCCGGGAAUUGCGCUUGAGACUGGUGUGCUUGAGUACGGGAGAGGAUAGUGGAAUUCCCAGUGUAGAGGUGAAAUUCGUAGAUAUUGGGAAGAACACCGGUGGCGAAGGCGGCCAACUGGACCAUUACUGACGCUGAGGCGCGAAAGCGUGGGGAGCAAACAGG
rnacentral:rRNA from 1 species